rnacentral:rRNA from 1 species
CCGACCGCUGGCGGCGUGCUUAACACAUGCAAGUCGAACGGAAAGGCCCUGCUUUUGUGGGGUGCUCGAGUGGCGAACGGGUGAGUAACACGUGAGUAACCUGCCCUUGACUUUGGGAUAACUUCAGGAAACUGGGGCUAAUACCGGAUAGGAGCUCCUGCUGCAUGGUGGGGGUUGGAAAGUUUCGGCGGUUGGGGAUGGACUCGCGGCUUAUCAGCUUGUUGGUGGGGUAGUGGCUUACCAAGGCUUUGACGGGUAGCCGGCCUGAUAGGGUGACCGGCCACAUUGGGACUGAGAUACGGCCCAGACUCCUACGGGAGGCAGCAGUGGGGAAUAUUGCACAAUGGGCGGAAGCCUGAUGCAGCAACGCCGCGUGCGGGAUGACGGCCUUCGGGUUGUAAACCGCUUUCGCCUGUGACGAAGCGUGAGUGACGGUAAUGGGUAAAGAAGCACCGGCUAACUACGUG